rnacentral:rRNA from 1 species
UACAGAGGUCUCAAGCGUUGUUCGGAUUCAUUGGGCGUAAAGGGUGCGUAGGCGGCGCGGUAAGUCGGGUGUGAAAUCUCGGAGCUUAACUCCGAAACUGCAUUCGAUACUGCCGUGCUUGAGGACUGGAGAGGAGACUGGAAUUUACGGUGUAGCGGUGAAAUGCGUAGAUAUCGUAAGGAACGCCGGUGGCGAAAGCGGCGUGCUGGACCUCUUCUGACGCUGAGGCGCGAAAGCCAGGGGAGCGAACGGG